GCUCGACAAAAUAUUGACUAGCUCAGUCGGUAGAGCAUGAGACUCUUAAUCUCAGGGUCGUGGGUUCGGGCCCCACGUUGGGCG
rnacentral:tRNA from 1 species